GAUGAACGCUAGCGGCAGGCCUAACACAUGCAAGUCGAGGGAGAAGCCCUUUCGGGGGCAGAAACCGGCGCACGGGUGCGUAACGCGUAUGCAACCUACCUUUCACAGGGGGAUAGCCCGAAGAAAUUUGGAUUAAUACCCCAUAAUAUUAUUGGAUGGCAUCAUUUGAUAAUUAAAACUGCGGUGGUGAAAGAUGGGCAUGCGUCCUAUUAGCUAGUUGGAGUGGUAACGGCACCCCAAGGCUACGAUAGGUAGGGGUCCUGAGAGGGAGAUCCCCCACACUGGUACUGAGACAGGGACCAGACUCCUACGGGAGGCAGCAGUGAGGAAUAUUGGGCAAUGGUCGGAAGACUGAACCAGCCAUGCCGCGUGCAGGAAGAAUGCCUUAUGGGUUGUAAACUGCUUUUAUAUGGGAAGAAUAAGGCGUACGUGUACGUUGAUGACGGUACCAUAUGAAUAAGCAUCGGCUAACUCCGUG
rnacentral:rRNA from 1 species